rnacentral:lncRNA from 1 species
GUUCAGGGGUGAGCACACCCCCGGCUGAGCCAUCAGCUUUUCCCUGAGGCUCUUCCACCACUGCUAUCAGGUGUAUGUGUUUAUUUCCAUGACGAAGAGCACAAGCUUCUGCAAGACCACCCUCUUUGCAGAGUUCGGAGGCAACAAGAAUGGAUGUGGGCUUUAGUCCAUCCUCACGGGCUUCCAGACUGCUCAUGAUUGUCCCUUCCAGAUUGCCUGCCCCGUGGACUUAAAGCUCCAGCAUCAGUUGCAGGUCCUUCUACAUGUGGGAUGUGGGACGCCGCCUCAACGUGGCCUGACGAGCAGUACCAUG